UACGUAGGGGGCGAGCGUUAUCCGGAUUCACUGGGUGUAAAGGGAGCGUAGACGGCCAUGCAAGCCAGGGGUGAAAGCCCGGGGCUCAACCCCGGGACUGCUUUGGAAACUGCCUGGCUGGAGUGCUGGAGAGGCAAGCGGAAUUCCUAGUGUAGCGGUGAAAUGCGUAGAUAUUAGGAGGAACACCAGUGGCGAAGGCGGCUUACUGGACUGUAACUGACGUUGAGGCUCGAAAGCGUGGGGAGCAAACAGG
rnacentral:rRNA from 1 species